CGCGCUGGGGGACAGAGAAAACAGACGAGUCGAAAAUAUUGAAAUAAUAAGGCUCCUCGCGCGUCAUCAAAACAUCGCAGACAAAGGGUUUCUUUUCAUUGAAUUUAAAGCUGCACAAUGAGGUUAAAUUCCAGUUUCCGAGAAAGGGUAAAGUUCAAAGGAUGCUCUUCCUUACCACAAAACGUCACUGUAUAUACUGUACCGAACAUACAAAAAGUCGAGGACGAGCAUCGGCGCGCUUGUGACCAAGCGCGCUUGACCGAGGAUUACAGAAACCACGACACGAACAGCAACGCGGCGCUGCCUCGCAGUCGGCGUGGAAAUGGCCAUCUACAGGGACAGCUGAUUGGCGCAGAAGACCACAGCGGCAGCUCUAAUUACAAAGAUGAAGUGAAUGGAAACAAAGUGGAUGCUCCGUCUGGCCCUCAGUACCAGGUGAGGAAUGUGCUCCUGUACUACCUGUUCCUGGUGUCUGCAGGCCUGGGACAGGAAGUCUUCUACAUCUCCUUCCUGCCCUGCAUCCACUGGAACCUUGACCCCUUCCUGUGCCGCCGGCUGAUCAACAUGUGGACCGUGGUGAUGUACAUCGGCCAGGUGUUGAAGGAUAUGCUGAAGAUGCCACGGCCUCUGUCGCCCCCUGUGGUGAAGUUGGAGACGCGCGUGAAUGCGGAAUACGGAAUGCCUUCCACCCACGCCAUGGCAGCCACCGCCAUCUUCUUCACCUUCCUCUUCAGCGCCACCCACAGGUUCCAGUUCCAGUUUGAGUCGGGGCUGCUGUUGGCUGUGGUGCUGUCUGCCCUGGUGUGUCUCAGCCGUCUGUACACAGGCAUGCACUCUGCACUGGACGUUAUUGGGGGAGCCCUGAUUUCAGUGCUGCUGAUGCUGCUUACCUACCCAGCGUGGGACGCUUUCGACCGGCUGCAGCUAACAAGCCCGCUCUCCCCCGUGGUGUCAGUGGUACUGCCCUUUCUCCUCAGCUACAGCUACCCCGAGUUGGACCAUUACAGCACCACGCGGGGGGACACCACCACCAUCCUGGGGGUGGGCGCCGGCUGCUCGGCCGGGUACUGGGUGAACGAGCAACUCGGGGAGACCUUCGAGCCCCAGGGGGACUUCCCCAUCCCCCUCCCGCCGCUGACCUGGGGGGCGCUGCUUUUGGGGGGGACGCGCUCCCUGAUGGGCGUGGCUCUGCUGCUGGGCACACGGCACGUGGUGAAGAGUGCCAGCUUGUGGGCACUGUGCUCCUGGCACCAGGCAUGUGCCAGCGAUGCCCGCACGCGCAGGCGCAGAGAGAUCGAGGUGCCCUACAAGUUCACCACCUACACGGUGGUGGGCCUGGUCAACACGGUCCUGCUCAACAAAGCCUUCCGGCUCCUGGGCCUGCUCUGAGACAGGCCUCCUGCCUGAACACUCAGCCAGAACUGCGCCUGAACACUAACCCAGAAAACUCGACUGUGCCUGAACACUCAGCCAGAAACACGACUGCGCCUGAACACUAACCCAGAAACACGACUG